GCUGACUGCUGCUGGCUUCUCACUCUCGUUGUCGUCGGUGUCAAGUUCGGUAGAAGGUUGAACACUUGGUGGUCGUCGUCGAUCGGAUUUGAAAAGAAGUGCAGAAGAAAAAAAAGCUAGAGGCUGUCCUCUGUGCUCCAACUGUGCGAAGUAAAAUCUACAAUUUAUUGUGAGUGCUUAAUUUUUGGGACGCCUCGUCGUGUGCAUCGGAAAGUGAUCGUUCCUGGCGUCAGAACACGGAAAAUAGGAUGUGGAUUACGGCCUAGGUUGUGCGGAUUAGCGGAAAAGUGGAAUGCGUUGGCCAAAAGCUGACGUUCCCAGUCGACUAAGCGGAGGACACAGCCGGAUCGGUGGUGAUCGGAAGUAGGUUUCCGUAAGUGAAAUCUGGUUACAGCUGCUGGAGGACGGGACCGAGGAUAGCAACCUUCUGGGUCUGGUGGUGGAAUCCGAGGUAGCCGCCAGAAUCUGGUAUCGAGACGGUGGAAAAUUACAUGGAACAACACCAUCCGAAAAGUGAAUCGAUCCGGAAUUGCAGCAUUUGUCGUUGUUGGUGGAACCAGAAAGAUUGUUUUCGGGCUGCUUGAGAAGUGUGCUAGAAAAUAGCGAAAUACACACUACAGUGGAAAACGCGAAUCAAAGUGCACCAGUACAGGUGAUCGGUGGUGAGGUGCAAGAGAAGAUACGAACGAAGACGAAGAAGAAGAACCACGCGAAGCCAAAAAUGAUUUGCGAAUGACCAAACGAAAGGAAAAGCGAUAAAGCAAGCAAGAAAGGAGCAGCAGCAGCAGCAGCUUCAAAGCAAGCGAGAAGAGUGCUAUCGAUUUUCCUCGUGAUCCAGAGCAGAAAAGAAAGAAGGUGACAGAACGAGAAAGGGAGAGCGAGUGACCGAGCGUGUGUUGAAGAACAGCUGAGACGCGGACGAAUUUGUAGGCCACUGGCAGAAAACAGCUGCGGUAGAGUGCUGCUGCAAGGCUGCUAGCAGGGGGUGUGUGUAUGUUGAAAAGUGGGUGAAAAUUUUAAUGAUAUGAAGAGUGAAGAAUACUAUCGUCGUCGUUGAUCGAUUGCGGAUUGUGAUUUUCUAAAUAUCUGAUAUUUUUUUUCGGGGGAACAAAGCAUAAGAGUGUGUGUCCUCCAGAGCGGAGAAGGCAGCUUGGUGGUGUGAAGAAAGGAGUCGAAGGAGAAGACAUCAGAGGGCGGUGUUGAGGCGUUGAAGGUGGAAAAGUUCACGCACUCACGCACGCGAGUGAAACAUCUGUUCGUCGUCGGACGGAUCGAACGUGGAUUGGUGUGAGAGAGUAUCGGACGGAAAAGCGACGAGAGCGAUAGCACCAGCACAACACAGGUUAACGACAGCGUUGCCAGAUCAACCGGUUGACUGGCAACUCUGUUGUUGAACGUUACUGUUACGUCCCGCCAUCCUCGGUAGGAUAGGGAGCCCCCGGCGCGGGAGUGCGUGCAGCGACAGCGGUAGCACUCUUUCCGCGCUACCUACUAGAUUUUCUUUUGGGACCCGGUUACAGAAGCGGCUUAGAAAAUAAAUUUUAAUCUGACGCUCGGUUGGUUCGGCGGUGCUUCUGAAAUGUCCGACGCCGGCAGUGGACACGACGGGGCCCAAAAGGACUACUCGCAAAAAAUGGACGGCGGGGGCGGUGGGGACUUUGACUCUGGCCAGCAGAGUCAACAGACCGAACAGGAACUGGCCACCAAAAUGCUACAGAUCCAGUCGAAACGGUUCUACCUGGAUGUGAAGCAGAACCGACGCGGCCGGUUUAUCAAAGUGGCCGAGAUCGGUGCCGAUGGGCGGCGUAGUCAGAUUUUCCUGGCCUUGUCCACGGCGGCCGAGUUCCGAGAUCACCUGUCGACAUUCAGCGACUACUAUGCCUCGCUGGGCCCACCGAAUCCGGACAACGUGCCCGAAGACGGCAAGCUAAAGUCAGAGAUGAUGAUCAAGGACAACCGACGGUACUACCUUGAUCUGAAAGAAAACGUCCGGGGACGGUUUCUGCGCGUUUCACAGACAAUUACCCGCGGUGGUCCCCGGUCGCAGAUUGCCAUCCCGGCGCAGGGGAUGAUCGAGUUCCGCGAUGCCCUGACGGAUCUACUGGAGGAGUUCGGCACGAACGACGGCGGGUUCAAGGGUGAACUGCCGGAGGGCCGCCACAUGCGUGUGGAUAAUAAAAAUUUCUACUUUGACAUCGGGCAAAACAGCCGGGGCAUCUACAUGCGGGUGUCGGAGGUGAAAAGUAACUUCCGGACUGCGAUCACCGUGCCGGAAAAGUGCUGGUCACGGUUCCGUGACAUCCUGACCGAUUACUGCGACAAGAUGAAGAAAACGUCCGAGUCAACCACAUCGUCGAUCACUGCCGAUAACCCAUUGCAGAAGCAAACAUCAAAUAAUAUGUAAAUUAGUGACGUGAGAGAGAGAAACAGAUCUUUUUCCCCCGUUUGUUUCUGUUCCCUGGCUGAGUUUUUUUCCCCACGCUUUAUUAUUUUUCGUUUUCGGUUUUUGCCCCGUUUUUUCAACUGUUCUCGACGAUUUUUCUGGUUUUUUUUCUCUUAUUUUUUUUUCGGUUAAUUGUUAUGUUUCCUUACUCGUUCACUUCCGGAAGGAUGAUAUACUAAAUUGUAGAGAUGAAAUGAAGAGUAUAAAAUAUAUUAUACAUAUAGUUAUAGAAGAAACAGAGAGGAUCAGAUGUAAUCUGAAUAUAAAUUGCAGUUAUAAAGAUUUAAAUAAAGGAAACAGAAGAAGAAAAAAUUAACAAAAUUAAAUUUAAUAACACAGACGAAAAAACAAAACCGAGCGAAGAAAAUAAUAACACACAAACAUAGGAAACAAGCGAAAAACACAACAACCUACACACAGUUUCACACGCAAAUCGUGCGUUUUUAUUUUAUUUUCGGCCAAUAAAUUCGCCAAUCCUCAAGCCACCCCUGGAUUCGGACGAUUCUGUCCAUAGAGAUGCGAUUCCUGUGCAUUCUGAAACAAAAAACGUAGGAUUUCCUGGUGUGCUGAUGGCAGCACUUCCUUCGAAAAAGAUGCAAUGAAAUGUCGGAAUUUUGCAUGGAAAUGUCUUAACUUCCAGCUUUAAUAUAACAGACUUAUCUGGCAAAUUGAAAAUGAUGUUCUCCGAGCCGGUUACCAGCAAAAAUUCAGUCACUGCUCAAUUUUGCUGGAUAAAAUGGUGCAACAUUCAGUAGAGUAGUUGAGUCUAUCCAUAUGGAGGUUCGUAAGACCAAAAUAACGCGUAAUCUGUGAUCAGUUGUUCCAAUUACUUGCCAUUUUUGAAGUUAAAGAACCGAUCAUUUCGGAGUAAGUGAGGAAGUUGUCCAGCUGUUGAUAUGAUGUCAUUUUUUUCACUUCUAUCAUCAAGCUUGAAUAAUGUGCAUGCAACUGAAAGCUGACGCUACAUUUUCGCUGGCAACACUUGAAUUUCCUAUGUCGACAGUGGAUUUUGACGUCGGAAGGUGCAACUCGGACAAGAGUUUAGUGGUGGCGCUACAAUCUCGAUUACUUUUUCAAAGGGACGUAUCAGCUUAUGUAAACAAUGCAUUUCAUCGUCGAUUGGGCGUAGCUGGUAGCUCGCAUACACUUACUAACACCACUAGCAGGUAGGGGAAAUUUCCCCUAUCUGAUGGUGGUGUUAGCAUGCGUGGGCGAGCUACCAGUUGCGCCAAAUCGACGAUCAAAUGCAUUGUUUACAAAAGCUGAUACGUCCCUUUGAAAAAGUUAUCGAGCAAUAAUAAUUAAAUUUAGGGACGAUCCAUAAAUGACGUAGGAUAUUGUAAACCCCUCUCUCUACCCCCUCGUAGCGUAUUUUGCUAUGCUUAAUAAAUGGCUGGCCACAACUUCUGAACCUUUUUUGGGAACUUCCCUGAAUUUAUUAGCCCCUCAGUGAAGCUACCGGAGCUUAUCUCAAGAACUGUAAUUACUCCAAAGUUCUCGGAACUUCUCAGAAGUUCUUUAAUUUCUUUCAAGUUCUCGUUAUUUCUCCGAAAAUCUUGGAUCUUAUCUCAAGUUGUUGGAACUUCUCAGAAUUUAUUGGAGUGAAGUGUUUGAACUUUUCUAAAAUGUUUCAAACUUCUUGAAUCUUCGCUGAAGUUUCCGGAGUUUUUCUCAAGUCCUUCGAACUUUGCUGUAGUUCUUAAGGGCCACCCGCAAUAGAUUCGUCUGCGUUGACGUAACUUUGCCGCAACGCAUCAGAUUCGAAUCUAAUGUGGGUGGCCCUUUAGGCCUUCGCUUAAUUUCUUGGAACCAUGUUAAAGAUAUUUUAACUUUGCUUAAGUUUGGAUCUUCGCUGAAGCUUUUUGAAAUUUUGCUGAAGCACUUGAAUUUUCGCUAAAUUUCUUGGAGCUAUGCUAAAAACAUUUGAACUUCAGUGAAGAUACAUGAACAUCACUGAUGUUUUGGGAUCUACGCUGAAAUUUUUGAAAGUUCAUGGAACUUCUUUGAAAAUCUUGGAAAAUUUCCGAGAAUUUUAGAGAAGUUUGCAAAAAGCCCCGAGAUCUGCAUCGAUGGUCCAGAAAGUUAGUCGGAGUUCCAGAAUCGGCAAAGUUCCAAAAACUCCAAAGAAGUUUCAAAGAUUUCAGAGUAGUUUGAAAAAGUUCCACAAAGUUCAUAUAUCUUCAAAAAGGCUCAACUAUUUUAAGCAAAGGUCCAAGAAACUCCGUGAAGGUCCAUCAGCUUCAGCGAAGUUUGAGAUAAGUUCCAAAUGCUUCCGAAAAGUUUCGAAAAUUUCUGCAAACUUUGGAGAAAUUCCAAAAGCUCCGGAGAAAUUUUGAGAACUUCGUAGAAAUUGUGCGAAUGUAAGAGAAGUUCCGAGAACUACGGAGAGGUUCAUGUACUUGUGGUAAGCCCCAAGAAAAUUCAACUAACUUCGAAGAGCGUCAUCAAAGUUCCGAAAACUUCAGCGAUGAUGUUUGCAAAAUGCCCAGAGUUUUAGAAAAGUCCCAGAUACUCUAAAGAAGUUUACAAAAUUUCAGGCUAGUUCGAAAAAGUUCAGCAAAGUUCAACUAUUUUAAGCAUAGCUUCAAAAAAUUCCGUGAAGGUCUAACAGCUUAGGCGAACUGUGAAGAGCCUUAUGCUAAGUUCCAAAUGCUUCACCACAGUUCCGAAAAUUUCAGCAAAGUUUAACAAAUAUUAGAAAAUUUUCAGCAAAGUUAAAAACACCUCAGUGAAGUUCCAUGAACUUGAGAUAAGUUCUGAGAACUUCGGAGAUAUUCCAAAAGGUCCGUAAAAAUUGUGGAAAUUUCGUAGAAAUUCCGAGAAAUUAAGAGAAUUUCCGAGAACUUCGGAGAGGUUUAUGUACUUGUGAUAAGCCCCAAGAAAAUCCAACUUAGUUAGAAGAGCGUCAGCAAAGUUCCAAAAACUUCAGCGAAGAUCUUUAGAAAGUUCAAAUAUCUUCACCACAGUUCCGAGAAAUUUAGCGAUGCUUCAGCGAAGUUUGAAUAUCUUGAGAUAAGCUCGGAGACAUUCAUCGAAGGUUCCGACCCAUGUGUUGAUGGGUUCGAUGGAUUCCAGGCGUAUUAGUCGUCUCCUUGGCACUCGAUUGCCGUCAGUGAUUGGCACACGAUUGUGGAACAAAGACCGACGUUAAAUAAAAGAGGUUUAAACAUGUGCAGUUUUCAAUUUCUGUUAAUUCUGAGAAUUAUCUUCUUUGAUCGGUAUCAAUCAAAUUUUACCAGCUGUUCAGUGUUGGAAAAAUCAAUCACUUAAAUGAAAAUAAUAUGCUUGAUACUGAUUCUACAAGCUCCUUUGAUAUUGCGAGACUAUUUACACUAUGUAAAAAUGAAGCUGAAAGUUGACUCGACACAAAGAUGAUUUCGUUGCACAUUGGUUUUCUUUGAAAGAGAAAGUGUAGUUUGCUAUUUCUCUUUACGCUUCACCGAUGGCAAACACGAAGUGACUGCUGCCAGCAGUGACGGUAGUUUCGCGUCACGUUCGGGUGUAAAGCAAAACUCAUGAAACUCAAACUCACCUUGGUUUGGUGAGAACUGUAGCUGGUGAGUUUUGUUUGCUUGAUAUUCG